UGGGGCGGGGUAGACAACAGGGAUUGCCUCAGUAACGGCGAGUGAAGCGGCAACAGCUCAAAUUUGAAAUCUGGCCGCAAGGUCCGAGUUGUAAUUUGUAGAGGAUGUUUCGGGCACCGCCGCGGUGUAAGUUCCUUGGAACAGGACGUCAAAGAGGGUGAGAAUCCCGUCUUGGAUCGCGGUAGGGCUCGUGUGAAACUCCUUCGACGAGUCGACUUGUUUGGGAAUGCAGGUCAAAAUGGGAGGUAAAUUUCUUCUAAAGCUAAAUAUUGGCCCGAGACCGAUAGCGCACAAGUAGAGUGAUCGAAAGAUGAAAAGCACUUUGAAAAGAGAGUUAAACAGUAUGUGAAAUUGUUGAAAGGGAAGCGCAGGCAACCAGACUCGAGCGCGGGGUUCCCCUGGUUCUGCCAGGUCACUUCCCCGCGACCGGGCCAUCAUCAGGUUUGGGGGUCGGUCAAAGGCCCCGGGAAUGUACCUACUCCUUCGGGGGUAGACUUAUAGCCCGGGGUGUCAUGCGACCUCCCGGGCCUGAGGAACGCGCUUCGGCGAGGAUGAUGGCGUAAUGGUUGUCUGCGACCCGUCUUGAAAACACGGACCUA
rnacentral:rRNA from 1 species